rnacentral:rRNA from 1 species
CAAUAGCGUAUAUUAAAGUUGUUGCAGUUAAAAAGCUCGUAGUUGGAUUUCUGGUGGGAGCGAUCGGUCUGGCGCUUAGCGCGAGUACUUGCAUCGUCUCCGGCCAUCCUUGGGGAGAGUCUGUCUGGCAUUAGGUUGUCGGGCAGAGGAUCCUCAUCGUUUACUGUGAAAAAAUUAGAGUGUUCAAAGCAGGCUUAUGCCGUUGAAUAUAUUAGCAUGGAAUAAUAAGAUAGGACUUUGGUACUAUUUUGUUGGUUUGCGCACCAAAGUAAUGAUUAAUAGGGACAGUUGGGGGUAUUCGUAUUCCGUUGUCAGAGGUGAAAUCCUUGGAUUUACGGAAGACGAACUACUGCGAAAGCAUUUACCAAGGAUGUUUUCAUUAA